UAGGGAAUAUUAGUAAUGGGCGAAAGCCUGAACUAGCAACACCGCGUGUGCGAAGAAGGCCUUCGGGUUGUAAAGCACUUUUUGAGAGGAUUAGGAAGGAAUGUACUUCCAGAAUAAGUCUCGGCUAACUACGUGCCAGCAGCCGCGGUAACACGUAGGAGGCAAACGUUAUCCGGAUUUACUGGGCGUAAAGCGCGUGUAGGUGGUUCUGUAAGUAGGGCGUGAAAGCUCCUGGCUCAACUGGGAGAUGCCGUUCUAAACUGCAGAGCUAGAGGAUGGUAGAGGGAGGUGGAAUUCCGGGUGUAGCGGUGGAAUGCGCAGAUAUCCGGAGGAACACCAGUUGCGAAAGCGGCCUCCUGGACCAUUCCUGACACUCAGACGCGAAAGCUAGGGUAGCAAACA
rnacentral:rRNA from 1 species